AUGGCUAUGAAAAAUACACCCACACCCACACCCACAUACCCCGCUGCGAUCCACACCAAAAUCCAUCCUGAGCGUUCCCGCUGUCCCCGCUCCCAGCUCCUGCCUGCCGACGGGCAGGGACACUGCUGCAGGUCUGGCCUCACCGCUGCRCGGAGCGGCGGGACGCGCUCCCCGGCACGCCGGGCGCCCGCGGGUGCUGGGGCUCAGUGGGGCAGCCCCACGGCAGCCCUGGCCCGGCAGCCCCGGGGGAGGCAGCCCCCAGCCCGCCCGGGGACGUCCCCAGCGCGGUGGCCCCGAGGAAGCGGGCCCGCUGCCAGCACCCUCCCCGCCGCCGCCUUUUAUGGCCCUGCUGCAGCCGCRGCCCAAACAUGGGCUGCGGGGACCGGCGCAGCGCGGCGAGGCCUCCCCCAACCCGGCCCCGUGCGGUGCCGACGGCUGCUCCGGCAGCGUCCGCCCAGCCCAGCCCCGCCGAGGCCGCAGGAGCUGGGUGCUGACGGGCAAAUGCCCCCAGGGCGGCAGCUCCCAGCUCACCUGGGGGAGCAGCGAGCGCCCGGGGACCACGUUUGCUCCUGGUGUGCUCCAGGCAGCUCUGCGUGCUUAACCCGCGCAGCUCUGCAUCCCACCCAACGCAGCUCCGCGUCCCUGCACCACGCAGCUCCACAUCCCUGCCCCUCGCAGCUCUGCAUCCCGCCCAAUGCAGUUCCGCAUCCCUGCCCCUCACAGCUGUCCAUCCCUGCACCAUGCGGCUCCGCAUCCCUGCCCCUCACAGCUCUACAUCCCUGCCCCUCGCAGCUCUGCAUCCUGCCCCUCGCAGCUCCGCAUCCUGCCCCUCGCAGCUCCGCAUCCUGCCCCUCGCAGCUCUGCAUCCUGCACCAUGCAGUUCCACAUCCCUGCACCAUGCAGCUCCUCAUCCCUGCACCAUGCAGCUCCGCAUCCUGCUCUAUGCAGCUCUGCAUCCUGCCCCUUGCUCUCAUCCUGCGCCUGUCUGACAGCGUGCUCAGGCCUGAAGCAUCUGCUGGUCAGCUCAGCAUGCCGAAAGGUGCAGUGUCCCUUCGCACAUCCCUGUCACCCUGCAAAACUGCAGGGGUCUGGGAGAGCCUGCAGCCUCGCGGUGUCCGGAGCAGCAUGGCUUGGCUCGCGCGCAGCCCGGGGCAGAGUCACAGUGACCGUUUUCGCUCACGGUGCUGCAGACAAGCUGGCUGUAAAGGUCGCUGGAUCAAGGUGCUGGAUAAUCACAGAGCAGCACAGCUGGUCUUGCUUCACCCACAUCCUCCCCGGGGGCCGCGAGGCAGAGCAGGAAGGAACAACGGCCACAGUCACCAGUCCCGGGGACCCUCUGCCCUGCCUGGCACCCUGGGCAGGGCUGGUGAGAAGCGUGCGGCCCCGUCCGGAGGAAAGGGUGUGCCCGUGAACGCGGCGGGUGUGUGUGUCAGAAACGAAACAGCCGCGACCAGCCCCGCGCCGUCACCCUCGGUGCAGCAGGGCAUCUGCGCGCCGACUCGUCCCCUGCAACCGCAGGGGCUCCAGCAGCCCCUCACCCCCACCGCUGACCUGGCCAGGUAUAACCCAACCCGGCUCCACCAUGGGUCGUCACGGGCUGGAGCAAGCGUGAACCUCACUGCAACAGCCAGCACCAGGGCCUGGGCGCCCAGGUGGGUUCAAACCGGGCUGCUCCAGCUGAGCAUCCUCCGGACUGGGCAGCGCGUGGGGCCAGUCUGGCUUUCUGCGCUCUGCAGUGCCCAAACACCCUCUCACCGUUUGCAGCACCCCAGUCCUCCCCACACAACCUUCGUGCUUUCUCUCCUCCAGCUCCCCUCCGUUUGCAAGGCCACUCACUUGUGCAAUGAGAUCAACCUCCAUAAACCCCAAAAUCUGCUGGGAUGA
rnacentral:lncRNA from 1 species